ACGAACGCUGGCGGCGUGCUUCACACAUGCCAGUCGCACGGAAAGGCCCUGCUUUUGUGGGGUGCUCGAGUGGCGAACGGGUGAGUAUCACGUGAGUAACCUGCCCUUGACUUUGGGAUAACUUCAGGAAGCUGGGGCUAAUACCGGAUAGGAGCUCCUGCUGCAUGGUGGGGGUUGGAAAGUUUCGGCGGUUGGGGAUGGACUCGCGGCUUAUCAGCUUGUUGGUGGGGUAGUGGCUUACCAAGGCUUUGACGGGUAGCCGGCCUGAGAGGGUGACCGGCCACAUUGGGACUGAGAUACGGCCCAGACUCCUACGGGAGGCAGCAGUGGGGAAUAUUGCACAAUGGGCGGAAGCCUGAUGCAGCAACGCCGCGUGCGGGAUGACGGCCUUCGGGUUGUAAACCGCUUUCGCCUGUGACGAAGCGUGAGUGACGGUAAUGGGUAAAGAAGCACCGGCUAACUACGUG
rnacentral:rRNA from 1 species